UCCGUAGGCGGGCAAUUAAGUCAGAGGUGAAAUCCCACAGCUCAACUGUGGAACUGCCUUUGAUACUGGUUGUCUUGAGUUAUAGUGAAGUAGAUAGAUUAUGUAGUGUAGCGGUGAAAUGCAUAGAUAUUACAUAGAAUACCGAUUGCGAAGGCAGUCUACUAACUGUAUACUGACGCUAAUGGACGAAAGCGUGGGGAGCGAACAGGAUUAGAUACCCUGGUAGUC
rnacentral:rRNA from 1 species